rnacentral:rRNA from 1 species
ACCCCGAACGAUCUCUUCGGAGAUAGUGGCGCACGGGUGCGUAACGCGUGGGAAUCUGCCCUUGGGUUCGGAAUAACAUCGGGAAACUGAUGCUAAUACCGGAUGAUGACGUAAGUCCAAAGAUUUAUCGCCCAGGGAUGAGCCCGCGUAGGAUUAGCUAGUUGGUGAGGUAAAGGCUCACCAAGGCGACGAUCCUUAGCUGGUCUGAGAGGAUGAUCAGCCACACUGGGACUGAGACACGGCCCAGACUCCUACGGGAGGCAGCAGUAGGGAAUAUUGGACAAUGGGGGCAACCCUGAUCCAGCAAUGCCGCGUGAGUGAUGAAGGCCUUAGGGUUGUAAAGCUCUUUUACCCGGGAUGAUAAUGACAGUACCGGGAGAAUAAGCCCCGGCUAACUCCGUGCCAGCAGCCGCGGUAAUACGGAGGGGGCUAGCGUUGUUCGGAAUUACUGGCGUAAAGCGCACGUAGGCGGCGAUUUAAGUCAGAGGUGAAAGCCCGGGCUCACCCCGGACUGCUUUGAACUGGUUG